AGUCAAACGUGGCAUCUUUACUUUCCACAAAUAACUUUACCCUAUCAUGUGCCUGUUCAAAUAAUAUUUAAUAUUUUUUAAUCUGUUACAGUUAGAAAAAUUUUAGACAUAUCUGUGGAUUUCGUAAUAAAUUGUGGUAUCACAUAAAGUUUUUCUAACUACCCACUUUGCUUAUUGUCAAAAUAUUGCGAUUUUUCGGUUCAUGUGGUCAAAUGUGGUUGCAGAGUUAUCGGAAAACAUUUCGUUUUUGAAAUAGAAAAUUAAAGUGCAGGUAUUCUCAUCAUGCCUCCGCAAAGAAGCCAAAAAGCAAGAAACAGAAGGUGUGAGAAGUUACAGAAACUACUCAGAGGACAUGCUGUUAUUGGCUGUGGAUUUAGUUAAAACCAAAAAGACAACCUUUUAUGACGCUGAAAAAGAAUUCGGCAUACCAAGACGUACAAUAGAAAAAAAAGAGUACAAAAUCUUCACAGCAAUAAACCCGAUCAGCGCUUUCGUUUAUCUCCGGAAGAAGAACUGAAAUUCGUAAAAGUACUCAUAGCAGCGGGUGACUUUGGGUGUCCACUAUCACAACUAGACUUAAAAUUAGCGGUUGAUGAGUAUUAAAAAAAAAACAUAGGUACAUAUUUAACGAUAAAGUUCUUGGUGACUGGUGGGUAAUAAAUUUUGCAGAGCGACACAAGGACCAAUUAACGUUAAGAUCUACCCAAAAUAUCACAAAAGCGCGUGCGGAAAAAACAUUAGAGGAGUUCAAAGAAUAUUUUAAAAAUCUAAAAAUAUCUCUUCAAAACCUGCCAGCAAAAAAUAUGUUAAACUAUGAUGAGACGAACUUGUCAGACGAUCCUGGUACUACUAAAUACAUUUUUCGCCGUGGAGAAAAAUAUCCAGAAAGAAUACUACAUACAUACAUACA